rnacentral:rRNA from 1 species
AUUGAACGCUGGCGGCAUGGCUAAAACAUGCAAGUCGAGCGCGAAAGUCCCUUCGGGGGCGAGUAGAGCGGCGAACGGGCGAGGAACGCAUUCCCACGUACCCCAAGGUCAGGGAUAGCCCGGGGAAACCCGGAGUAAUACCUGAUGUGGUCCACGGAUCAAAGGCUUGCCGCCUUGGGAGCGGGGAAUGUCCUAUCAGGUUGUUGGUGAGGUAAAGGCUCACCAAGCCGAAGACGGGUAGCGGGUGUGAGAGCAUGACCCGCCGCAUCGGGACUGAGACACUGCCCGGACUCCUACGGGAGGCUGCAGUAACGAAUAUUCCGCAAUGCGCGAAAGCGUGACGGAGCAAUGCCGCGUGCAGGAUGAACGCCCCUCGGGGUGUAAACUGCUGUCAGGGUACAGGAACACAAUGACCAUACCCAAAGGAAGGGCCGGCUAACUUCGUG